AUACGGAGGGUGCAAGCGUUAUUCGGAAUCACUGGGCGUAAAGGACGCGUAGGCGGGUUGGCAAGUCAGAUGUGAAAUCCUACAGCUUAACUGUAGAACUGCAUUUGAAACUGCUAACCUAGAGUAUGGGAGGGGGAGAAGGAAUUAGUGGUGUAGGGGUAAAAUCCGUAGAUAUCACUAGGAAUACCGAAAGCGAAGGCGAUCUCCUGGAACAUAACUGACGCUAAGGCGUGAAAGCGUGGGGAGCAAACAGGAUUAGAAACCCUAGUAGUCC
rnacentral:rRNA from 1 species